AGAUGUAGAGAGUGAAUUUUAGAAAGAGUAGGAGAUGCUUUUUUUUAAAACUAAGAGUAAGGAGAUGCUAUUAGUAUCCAUAUCGCUUCUUCAUUUUUUUGUUGAUUUAUUUGAUUUUUUAUUUUACAUUUAUAUGUUCAUUUUUUAUCUGUCAUUACUCAUUGAAUUUGGUGCAUGUUGUCAUUUUCAUGCGGCCGGAUGCACAAACAGGCCUAGCCAUCGUUGCUACACGCCGUGGGCUUCUUAUUAAUUAUUAAUCUUUAUUACCGAACAUGCCGUCCGGCCUGAUUUGCCAAUGGCACAUGUUCCGAACGAUGCAGAAUCCACAAAACAAAACAUAACAUCUCGCCCUGAAUUAGCUUCUAAUCUAAUGGUGCUAAUGUUUGGAUCAGUUUUGGGAUUUUUAAAAACC
rnacentral:lncRNA from 1 species